GGCGGUGUGCGAUGGACAUGCAGCGACCUCCGGUGAGGCCGCGCGGCUCAUAACCGCGACGGCGAGGGUUCGACUCCCUCCGCUGCCA
rnacentral:tRNA from 1 species